rnacentral:rRNA from 1 species
UUGGAGGGCAAGUCUGGUGCCAGCAGCCGCGGUAAUUCCAGCUCCAAUAGCGUAUAUUAAAGUUGUUGCAGUUAAAAAGCUCGUAGUUGAAUUUCGGAAUCUGUCCAUCGGUCGGGCUUCACUGUCCGUACUGGUGUGGUGGGUUCUUACCUUCUGAAUAACCAUCAUGCCAUUCACUUGGUGCGUUGGGGAAGCAGGACUAUUACCUUGAAAAAAUUAGAGUGCUCAAAGCAGGCUAGUGCCUGAAUACAUUAGCAUGGAAUAAUAAAAUAGGACGGCAUGGUUCUAUUUUGUUGGUUUCUAGGAUCACCGUAAUGAUUAAUAGGGAUAGUUGGGGGCAUUAGUAUUCAAUUGUCAGAGGUGAAAUUCUUGGAUUUAUUGAAGACUAACUUCUGCGAAAGCAUUUGCCAAGGAUGUUUUCAUUAAUCAAGAACGAAAGUUAGGGGAUCGAAGACGAUCAGAUACCGUCGUAGUCUUAACCAUAAACUAUGCCGACUAGGGAUCGGACGAUGUUAAUUUUUUAAUGACUCGUUCGGCGCCUUACGGGAAA